UUGGCUGGGGCGGCACAUCUGUAAAACGAUAACGCAGGUGUCCCAAGGUGAGCUCAAUGAGAACAAACCUCAUAAGGAUGUGGAGUAAAAGGACAAAAGGGAUGGGCAGAGAGUCAUUUGAAAAAAUGACCUAUCCCCUAACCCCUAACCCCUAACCCCCUAAACGUGACCAGCGCGCGUGGGCAUUCCCUAACCCGUGCGUGGGCUUGGG
rnacentral:ncRNA from 1 species